CCUACGGGCGGCAGCAGUGGGGAAUAUUGCACAAUGGGGGAAACCCUGAUGCAGCAACGCCGCGGGAGUGAAGAAGGAUUUCGGGAGGGAAAGCUCUAACAGCAGGGAAGAAGAUGACGGUACCUGAGUAAGAAGCCCCGGCUAACUACGGGCCAGCAGCCGCGGUCAUACGGAGGGGGCAAGCGUUCGCCGGAUUUACUGGGUGUAAAGGGCGCGGAGACGGCGAGACAAGUCGGAAGUGAAAGCCCGGGGCUCAACCCCGGGACUGCUGUGGAAACGGCCUGACUGGAUUGCUGGAGAGGCAAGCGGAAUUCCUCGUGUAGCUGUGAAAUGCGUAGAUAUUAGGAAGAACACCAGUGGCGAAGGCGGCUUGCUGGACCGUAACUGACGUUGAGGCUCGAAAGCGUGGGGAGCAAACAGGAUUAGAUACCCUAGUAGUC
rnacentral:rRNA from 1 species